rnacentral:ncRNA from 1 species
GGAAACCCGUUGACCCCCGUCGUGCUAGGGAUAGGGAUUGCAAUUAUUUCCCUUGAACGAGGAAUUCCCAGUAAGCGCGAGUCAUUAGCUCGCGUUGAUUACGUCCCUGCCCUUUGUACACACCGCCCGUCGCUACUACCGAUUGAAUGGUUUAGUGAGGUCCUCCGAUUGGACCCGGUCCGGGCGGCGACGUCCGAGCCGGCGUCCGAGAAGACGAUCUAACUUGAUCAUUUAGAGGAAGUAAAAGUCGUAACAAGGUUUCCGUAGGUGAACCUGCGGAAGGAUCAUUA